GACGUAGGGUGCAAGCGUUGUCCGGAUUUACUGGGCGUAAAGGGCUCGUAGGCGGCCAACUAAGUCAGACGUGAAAUCCCCAGGCUCAACCUGGGAACUGCGUCUGAUACUGGUUGGCUUGAAUCCGGGAGAGGGAUGCAGAAUUCCAGGUGUAGCGGUGAAAUGCGUAGAUAUCUGGAGGAAUACCGGUGGCGAAGGCGGCAUCCUGGACCGGCAUUGACGCUGAGGAGCGAAAGCCAGGGGAGCAAACGGG
rnacentral:rRNA from 1 species